UCAAAGGUCUAUACACUGUAAUUAAACAGCCCAAGACCUGCAAACCUGAGUCAGCUGGGACUGUCAGCCACAGGUUUUAAUUGCAGUGUAGACAUACCCUAAAUGGCUUAGCCCUGGCUACCUAAGAGAACCAUCUCUUUCCACAUCUUUUUUCAUGGUAGCUGAGAUCUGCCAUGCUGGGAGUGGCUGAUGGCAGGAAGUUCUCAACAAAGCUUUAAAAUUCACUUCCCUCCUUGUUCCACCACAGCCAAGUUUAGUGACCUUAAGGACGCACAGUAACGCUCCCCUGUUCUCCCAGGCAUUUCCAAAUCAGAGGGCUGAUUUGGGGGUGGGUGAUGGGGAGGCUGGACUGGAGGAUGUUGUCUCUUUUUGUACAUCAUAGGACUUGCACUCUGUUUUUGUGCAGCCAGUUUUAAUUUUAUUAAAAACACUGUUUGCAUACAUUUGGUAAUGUACCUGUGCACCACAGCACAGUCAAUUCAAAUACUAGUCAUUUUACUUUCUAGAAUUCUAGGUUUACUUAGGUCCAACUUUAAGAGCGUUACCCUUCAGCCAGCUAUGGAAUCACCACCAUUACAACAUUCAUGAAUUUGCAUUUUUCUUAUUUGUUUAUGAAUUCUUAUAUGAAUCAAGUCCUAAAAUCAAUAUGCACUCAAAACUCCCUUUCACUUAAUGUCAGUUUCAGCACAGAAAACUACAGGAUCCAUACUCAGGAUUACCACUACAUAGGGUAAAACCCCCAGAAAAUAUGACUGCAAGAACAGAAAGGACUUUUUAAAAAUCCAGUUAAAAGUGUGUUUACAGCUGUAUAACAGCAUGUAAAAAUUAUGAUCAGAAUUUUCAAAUGCAGAUGCUGGACAUUCAGUCCUAAUUUUUUUAUAGGCAUCUAAUAUGAAUAUCCUGACUGUGGGAAGUGCUGAGUAUCUGUAACCCUUACGAAAGUUCGGCACCUCUGAAAAACAGGUCAUUUAUAUUUAGAUGCCAAACUUUAGCCAUCCGCUUUUGAAAAUGUUGGCCUAUGUUUUUACUUACCAGGCAUUUAUCAGCAAAACACACACACAAAAUAAGCACAAUUAUGACUGCUACAAUUCCAAAUGAAAGUCCUAGUUUUGUGGUUCUAAAACAGAGAGAGGAGAACAAAGUUAAACAGAAGUGUUAUGCAUAUUGUCAUAGUCAAAUUGCAACUAACCAAGCAACAGUCACUAAUGCAGUUUCCCAUAACUAAAAUAAAUAUCAUUGCUGUUCUUUUGGCAUUACAUGAUCAUGAGAAAGGGCCUUCCAUGGACGUUUAUUGCCCUCUCUUGGCAAAGAUUCACUUUCAGGUAUUCCACUCUCUCAUUGAAAUCAUGUGCUGUUACCCCAUGGAUAAACCACACCACCAUCAUUAGUGUCACAGCAGGGAAAAACAGACCUGGCAGAAAAUUUAAAAUACCAGGGAAAGUCAGCUGUCUCCGAGCUGUGACAAAGAGCCAUUUAACAAACCUUCUCUGACCUUAGAAUCAGAUUAAGCAACUAUAUUAAUAAUGGUAUCCAUGAUCGGAUAGGAAUACUAGAGCUAAUAUUACUAACCUAAUUCAUAAUCCUAACAUUAUUACAAGAGAUAUUUGUGGUGAGAGUUUCCUUACUGCUCCACAGCCAAUUACACGUGUCUUGCCCUUCUCUCCCAUGAUCCAAAUUCUCACCAAAUCUGGUCUUCCUCCUCCAAGCAAAUCUGAAGGUGUCUCCAUCCUGACUGCUUAAAUCUUUGUCAAAAUUUGGGCCAUCUCUACUGAUCUACUGCGUCUUCGCUAGCCUCCGCAAAUCUUAUCACCAGUCUACACAAGAUGCCACUGCUACAACUAAUUUCUUCUAAUGAUUACAACAAUAAGAACGUCUAGUAGUUUCCCAAUAUGAAUGUAUAGUAGUCCCCAAAGAUUACACUGUAUCGUUGAGCUAGUCACUUACAUAAUCAAACCCCUUCAUUGAUUUUCUUUCCUUCCACAUCAGAUUCAGGCUUCAAACCCUCCUAAACUGCCUAACCCUACUCUCCUUUGUUCAUCUUCAGUGAUUAAGGUGAUGAUCAGAAAAACAAUCUAAAAUGCACUUCCUUACUUAAUAGAUCUUCUCCCUCUGUAUACUGAGCAUAGCUAAAACACACUGCUAAGGAAACACUGUCCACUUAGAUUAGUGCAGCUGUCCAGGCUGAGGUGCAAAACUACCUAUGAAUGCACCAUACUAACAAAGAGCAUGUCACAAUUAAGAAUGAAUAUGUAUUUGUGUAUGUAUGUAACUUAUUAGGCCAGGUCUACACUAAAAAGUUAGGUCAACCCAGCCACAUCAUGCAGGGAUAUGAGAAAUCCACAUCCUGAGAGACGUACGUAAACCAAUCAAACCCGCGGCAAAGACAGCUCCAGGUUUAUGGAAGAAUUCUUUCAUUGACCUAGCUUGGGGAGGCAGAUUAACUACAGUAACAGUAGAACCCCUCCCAUCACAGUAGUGCAUGUCUACACUGAAGCACUACUAUAGCGGUUUAAGUGUAGACAGCCUUAGCUACAGCCCUUCAGGAUGAUCCGUAAGAGCUAAAGGUGUUGCUCACAUGCAAGCAGCGUUUGAUCCAGAGAAUCCAUUUAAAAUAUAAAGAAAUGCAAAACACCACACACUUACUUUGGCAUGACAAACACCUGUAUUAUAAAUAUACAGAGCAACACAAUACUGGCACAGCCAAAGUAACUCCUCAGUCCGGGGAUGGGGAUGGUGCGAUACUGAAACAAAGAUUGUAAUAAUUUAAUAAGAAUAAUUCUAGAGUUUGUUUUUGUAAUCUGCUACUUGUAUUUUUUUAAAUUCUACCACAAAGUAUCUUUGCACCGCACUAUUAAGCCAAGAAUGUGAAGAGAAACCAACCAACCAGAUAAAAUGUACAGUUAGGCAUCAUUGAAGAAAAAGUCCCCAGUCCAACAGAAUCAAUUUCUAACCAGCUGGGGACACCUAAUGAGGUGCAGUAACUGCACAACGGAUCAUUACACAACAUGUAAGUCAGCUUCCAAACUAAUACUUACUAUACGAGUUGAUUAUAUGACUAUUUAUAUUAUCAUAGUGAUUGGGGGCCCCAUCCUGUGUGAGUAGAUUAAUACACACACAGUGAAAUCUGUUUUAAACUACCACACGAGAUAUCAGAAGAACAACUUUUAGGAGAAGUUCAUUUAACUGAACGCUACUCAAAACUGAACUGAAACCUUGAGGACACUGACAGCAGCCUCAAACCGAGAAGGCUCUUGAUGCAAGUUUUACUAUAUAUACAUAUUCCUCAUGAAUGUGUCCAUAUGCGUGAAUCACUCUGGGUUUAACCAGGGCUCUCCUCAGACUGCAGUGGUUCAGUGAAGGCUCUUAUUUUUGGGGGGUACAGGGAUGGGUUGCGAGUCCUCCUGAGUUUGGGAAAGGGCGAGGACUAGAAUGGUAAAAUAUCGUAUACAUAAGGGCAUUUGAAAUUCAAUCCUGCCUCCAUUUAAGCUAUGACUCAGGAUGUUUUAAGUAUCAAGGAUAAUGUUACCAUUCAUAUAGAGUAUUUACGGUACCUACCAAAUAUCAUACUGAUGUAUAAAGAAAUUAUCAUGGAAAGCAGAAUCCUAUUUGCUACAAUGUAUGUAAAGACACUUUUUAAAUACCUCAUUGCUUUUUUAUAAUAAAAGAUGUUCAGACUAAUGCUGGACCCACUGCCAAAACGUCCAUUGACUUUAAAGGGCCAAGGUUUAACCCUAGAUUAUUUACUGAUUCCUUUAGUCCAUAUUAACAACAUUACCAAGAAGGAGGGAAUAAGCCAAGUGAACCAAGAGAUCUGCAUUACAUCAUGUCAUCUAAGAUGCAUUUGGGGCUGCAGUCACCUCAGGAAUCCCAAUAUAGGAACGAACAUAAUUUCAGUUUCAAUUGUCCUUUCAUGUUUCUAUGAAGAUUCUACAAAAAACAGUGAGAAUCCACAGAAGUCAUCUGAGUUAUUAUACCAUGGUCUGCAUUAAAAUAGAAAUAGGUUAUACAAAAUGUAUGCAAUAAACUAACAUAACAGAAUGCAAAAAUCGUAUGUUUCAGGUUGGAUUCCAUUGUUCACAUAGUUAAUGACUUGUUUAUCAUGGUAUAAUGUUUUUCUGAACAGCUGACAAAGCACUUUAAGAGGCUUUACAUUUCAACUAUCAGUGGUUUUGCACUAGUGGUUUUGCACCAGUUUAGUUAUCUCAUGGUUGCAUCUCAUGGUUUUGCACCAGUUUAGUUAUCCCUUUGGUAGUACAGUCAUCAGUAGAAAAGGAAUCCAGUCUGAAACCUUCUUGGCUGGGUACCCUGUCAUAAAUACGACAGGGUAAAGAGAGAUAUUAGAGAUGGAUUAGAGAUACUAGGUCACCCAUGCCUUCACCCUGCAAAUACCUGCCAUUUAUUGGGGAUGGUUUGAGUACAAGUAUAUCAGUCUUCCCAUAACCCAGUAGAAGGGAUGGAUGGCUCCCUCCCAAUUGAAAUGAUUCUAUGUUUGUAUAGAUCAUAGGAAUUUCUAUGCUAGAAUUCAUUUUAAAAUAUAUAAAAUACAGCCCUCAUAUGCUUUUUACAGAUAUAUUGUGCCAACUGCUGUGCCUGCUAUUAGCACUGAUACUCCAUGUACCCUCAGUGAACCAGCCAUGGGAGUCAUAUCUGCAGUGCUCCCAGCAGUUACCCAUGUGCUCCUGACCUCUGCCCACAUGUGUGCCCCAGCUGCCUCACCCUCUGACCUUCCCACAUUUCCUGUGACCUGUA